rnacentral:rRNA from 1 species
AGUGAACGCUGGCGGCGUGCCUAAUACAUGCAAGUCGAACGCAGUGGCGCACGGAUGAGUAAUAUAUAGUUAAUCUGCCCUACAUAGAGGAACAACAGUCGGAAACGACUGCUACUACCCCCUAUUGCAGGUUGAGACUAUAUCGUAUCAGCUAUUUGGUAAUGUAAUGGCUUACCAAGGCUAUGACGCGUAACUGGUCUGAGAGGAUGAUCAGUUACGUUGUAACUGAGACACGGUUCAAAAUCCUACGGGAGUCAGCAGGAGAGGAUGUUGAGCAAGAGGGGAACCCCUGACGCAACAACGCCGUGUGGAGCAUGACAAUUUUCGGGGCGAAAGCUCCUUUUAACAGGAAAGCGGUGCCUGAAGAAUAAGCACCGGCUAACUCCGUGCGAGCAGCCGCGGUAAUAC